rnacentral:lncRNA from 1 species
GAUGUCAAAGCAGACAGUGAUCUGAGGAACACCCCUUGGAGCAGGAGGAAUACCCGACAGCUCAAACUUGCCCAACAAAUUGUUAUCACGAGUCCUUGUUCUUUCUCCUUCGUAGACCUGAAUCAGCACACCAGGUUGGUUAUCAGAAUAGGUCGAAAACACCUGCUCCUUCUUGGUAGGAAUUGUUGUGUUUCUCGGAAUUAACACAGUCAUGACUCCUCCUGCAGUCUCCAAACCAAGGGAAAGAGGAGUAACAUCCAGCAACAAAAGAUCCUGUACUUUCUCAUUGCCUUCGCCGCUCAAAAUAGCAGCUUGGACUGCAGCGCCAUAAGCAACAGCCUCAUCAGGGUUGAUGCUCUUACAAAGUUCCUUCCCAUUGAAGAAAUCUUGCAAAAGUUGUUGAACCUUGGGAAUCCUAGUCGAUCCGCCAACAAGAACAACAUCAUCAACACUGUUCUUAUCCAUCUUAGCAUCCCUCAAACACUUCUCAACAGGCUCCAUACACUUCCUAAAUAGAUCCAUGUUGAGCUCUUCAAAACGAGCGCGAGUAAUGGUAGUGUAAAAGUCAAUACCCUCAAACAAAGAAUCAAUUUCAAUGGUGGUUU